GGAGGAAGGAAGGCACAAGAGACAUAACAGGCAGGCAGGAGAAAAGCAUCCCGACCAUUGCAUGGCAGGUGUGAAAGAAGUCUUUAGAAGAAACUAUAUAAUGAGUAAAGCAUUCACAACCCAACAAUACUAAAUGGACUAAACGCAGGGAGUUUUAUUGAAAUCCCCACUUAUGGGGAAUGACUGUUGUGAUGGAGUAACAUGGAGGACCGAAGUUUGCAGCAAUUUGUCUCCUCAGCAAUCCCUCCAAACUCAGUGGUAUCAACUGCUGCUGAACUUGACACUUAUCUGGAAGGAGAGGACCCACAAGACAGAUUUACAUCAAGACUAGCUGGCCAUGUGGUGAUGGGGCAUUAAGGAGAAUCAACUCUUUCAGAGGACACCUCAGAGAGCGUAUGGACAGUGGAGGCCCAGUAACUCAUCAGGGCAUGUAGAACAUGUGAUCCCUGGGUCCAUGUUUGAGACAGUAACUUUCCAUGCACAUGGACAGGUGGAUAUAAAUUGUAGACUGUGAUAUCAUCUCCUUUCUUCAUUCCUGCUCCACAUCUCUGGACUUCUAACAAAGGGAACUUUGAACAAUGGACAGAGGACUUUUUUGGAUGUACCUACCAGAGAAAUUUCUUCUAAACUGGCAGAUUUAAGAUCACUAUUAUCCUGAUCUACAGACUCUGAAAUCAACUGUAACAUAUAUGAUUCACUUUAAUGGUUUAGUAACUCUCUUCUCUUCCUUUUUUAUUAAUACAUUUUUAGUUAGUUUACUAAAGGAUUGGCUGCAGCGUGGAAUUUGAUGAGAUCCUGAAGUACAUAUUGACUUGGGGUGAAUCGGUUCUUUGGUACUUGAAGAACCUAAUAUAUGUGAUUUCUGGUUUUAAUAAUCAUUUAUCACAGAAGUCUGGUUUGUCUGGAUGGUGCAUGAGGAGCUAGAGGCCUUGAAGGGGGCUGUCUGUGGCUUCAUAAUAACGAGUAUUGUAUUUUGGAAGCACACAUUUGUUACUGGUUUGGUGAAAUCUUAUAAUAGAGUAUACCACCUCUCUGGGGUAUAUGCCCUGUAUUCUGGCAGGCUGACCUGAGAUGGGCAUGUUAAGCUGUUUCCCAUACCACGCAGCGUGAUAGAUACCAUCUGACUUAAGCAGCUAGCCAACAAAGCACACAUUUGGAAUUGUAUAUUCCAUUGCAGUAUUCCCUAUACGCUUGUUUGGUUACUUAUAUAGUCACAUGGUAUUUUUUCUGCUUCCUGAAAGGAUGACUU